AUCGCNGCUUAUCAUGCAAGUCGAGGGGCAGCACGGGUAGCAAUACUGGGUGGCGACCGGCGCACGGGUUGCGUAACACGUAUGUAAUCUGCCCUUAACAGGGGGAUAGCCCGGAGAAAUCCGGAUUAAUACCCCAUAGUAAUAUGGAUCGGCAUCGAUUUAUAUUUAAAGCUCCGGCGGUUAAGGAUGGACAUGCGACUGAUUAGCUAGUUGGUGAGGUAAUGGCUCACCAAGGCGACGAUCAGUAGGGGUACUGAGAGGUUAAACCCCCACACUGGUACUGAGACACGGACCAGACUCCUACGGGAGGCAGCAGUAAGGAAUAUUGGACAAUGGAGGCAACUCUGAUCCAGCCAUGCCGCGUGCAGGAAGAAGGCGCUAUGCGUUGUAAACUGCUUUUGUACCAGAGAAAAUCACUGUACGUGUACGGUGUUGAUAGUAUGGUAAGAAUAAGCAUCGGCUAACUUCGUGCCAGCAGCCGCGGUAAUACGAAGGAUGCGAGCGUUAUCCGGAUUUAUUGGGUUUAAAGGGAGCGUAGGCGGUCUUAUAAGUCAGUGGUGAAACCUCGUUGCUUAACAACGACCGUGCCAUUGAUACUGUAGGACUUGAGUACAGUUGCCGUUGGCGGAAUGUGUCAUGUAGCGGUGAAAUGCCAUAGAUAUGACCACCAGAANCACCCCGAUUGCGAAGGCCAGCCUGACCGAAANCUGUAACUGACGCUGAAGCUCGAAAGCGUG
rnacentral:rRNA from 1 species